GGCGUAAAGCGUGCGCAGGCGGUUUUGUAAGUCUGACGUGAAAUCCCCGGGCUCAACCUGGGAAUUGCGAUGGAGACUGCAAGGCUAGAAUCUGGCAGAGGGGGGUAGAAUUCCACGUGUAGCAGUGAAAUGCGUAGAGAUGUGGAGGAACACCGAUGGCGAAGGCAGCCCCCUGGGUCUAGAUUGACGCUCAUGCACGAAAGCGUGGGGAGCAAACAGGAUUAGAUACCCUGGUAGUCCACGCCCUAAACGAUGUCUACUAGUUGUCGGGUUUU
rnacentral:rRNA from 1 species